rnacentral:misc_RNA from 1 species
GUGAAUCAUCGAAUCUUUGAACGCACAUUGCGCCCUUUGGUAUUCCGAAGGGCAUGCCUGUUCGAGCGUCAUUAUCACCCCUCGAGCCCCUGUGGCUUGGCUUUGGACGGUCUGGUUAGGCGACUGACCCCUCCUAAAGACAAUGACGGCGGCCUCGCAGGACCCCCGGUACACUGAGCUUCUUAACUGAGCACGUAUCGGAUCGAGGGUUCUCGGGGCACGGUCUCCUUUCCCCCCUCCCCUCGGGGCGGUGGGAAAACAAUCUUUCUCAGGUUGACCUCGGAUCAGGUAGGGAUACCC